rnacentral:rRNA from 1 species
AUUGAACGCUGGCGGCAGGCCUAACACAUGCAAGUCGAACGAGUGGCGGACGGGUGAGUAAUGUCUGGGAAACUGCCCGAUGGAGGGGGAUAACUACUGGAAACGGUAGCUAAUACCGCAUACCAGCGGAUGUGCCCAGAUGGGAUUAGCUUGUUGGUGGGGUAAAGGCUCACCAAGGCGACGAUCCCUAGCUGGUCUGGGAGGAUGACCAGCCACACUGGAACUGAGACACGGUCCAGACUCCUACGGGAGGCAGCAGUGGGGAAUAUUGCACAAUGGGCGAAAGCCUGAUGCAGCCAUGCCGCGUGUAUGAAGAAGGCCUUCGGGUUGUAAAGUACUUUCAGCGGGGAGGCGUUACCCGCAGAAGAAGCACCGGCUAACUCCGUGCCAGCAGCCGCGGUAAUAC